rnacentral:rRNA from 1 species
GACAGAGGUGCCGAGCGUUAGGCGGAAUCACUGGGCUUAAAGCGUGUGUAGGCGGAUCCGUAAGUACCUUGUGAAAUCCCACGGCUCAACCGUGGAACUGCUGGGUAUACUGCGGGUCUUGAGCCACCUAGGGGCGAGCGGAACAAGUGGUGGAGCGGUGAAAUGCGUAGAUAUCACUUGGAACGCCAAUGGUGAAAACAGCUCGCUGGGGGUGUGCUGACGCUGAGACACGAAAGCCAGGGGAGCGAACGGG